rnacentral:rRNA from 1 species
UUGAACGCUGGCGGCAUGCCUUACCCCUGCCAGUCGAACGGCAGCACGGGUGCUUGCACCUGGUGGCGAGUGGCGAACGGGUGAGUAAUACAUCGGAACAUGUCCUGUAGUGGGGGAUAGCCCGGCGAAAGCCGGAUUAAUACCGCAUACGAUCUACGGAUGAAAGCGGGGGACCUUCGGGCCUCGCGCUAUAGGGUUGGCCGAUGGCUGAUUAGCUAGUUGGUGGGGUAAAGGCCUACCAAGGCGACGAUCAGUAGCUGGUCUGAGAGGACGACCAGCCACACUGGGACUGAGACACGGCCCAGACUCCUACGGGAGGCAGCAGUGGGGAAUUUUGGACAAAGGGCGAAAGCCUGAUCCAGCAAUGCCGCGUGUGUGAAGAAGGCCUUCGGGUUGUAAAGCACUUUUGUCCGGAAAGAAAUCCUUGGCCCUAAUACGGUCGGGGGAUGACGGUACCGGAAGAAUAAGCACCGGCUAACUACGUG